GUUUCACAGGUUUCUCUCCCUUCUGAGCAACGGCAGCCGGCCCCUCCAGACGAUGGCCAUUCCUGUUGCCUUGGUCCGCAGGAACGAUGGGUUAUGCAUGAACUUUGUAGAACAUGGCCUUGUCUUCACCAACGCGGAGGAGAGCCCGUUCGGUUCCAGAGAGGAUGCUGCCUCAUCUCGUCUCUAAAAGAGGAGGAAGGGGAGCAGGUCCCUUCACGUUCUCUGGUCUCAGCUGAGAACUCUCCCUGGAAGUAGCGGGCCGUGAAAUGUUUCACAAGUGACACCAGUGAUGCUGUUAAACAAGGACAAUCCGGUUCAUGGAUUGUGACAACGCACGCUGACAUCAAGCAGACCCUGCCGUCAGCUGAGUGCCAUGAGAGGACAGUGACAACCUUGGGGCCUCAUGGUGAAGGUGGCAGAAACUUUGUUAGCCUGGGUGCUCAGGGUGGACAGCUGCUCUUGCCAACCGGGAACAUUUGCCUUGAGCUC
rnacentral:lncRNA from 10 species